rnacentral:misc_RNA from 1 species
AAAGCCGCAACAAGGUUUCCGUAGGUGAACCUGCGGAAGGAUCAUUAAAAGAAUUAGGCUUCGCGGCCCAAGUUCUCACCCUUUUGUAUACCCGUAAACCAUGUUGCUUUGGCAGGCCCCCUGCAUUUUGCUCGGGCCCUGCCAGAGGUUUAUAAACCCUAGAAUCUCUGCUGUCUGAGUACUAUGCAAUAGUUAAAA